GUAGGGAAUAUUGCGCAAUGGACGAAAGUCUGACGCAGCGACGCCGCGUGAGUGAUGAAGGCCUUAGGGUCGUAAAGCUCUGUUGAAUGGGAAGAAAAAAAUGACGGUACCAUUCGAGGAAGGACCGGCUAACUUCGUGCCAGCAGCCGCGGUAAUACGAGGGGUCCUAGCGUUGUUCGGAAUCAUUGGGCGUAAAGGGUGUGUAGGUGGCCAUGUAAGUCAGGUGUGAAAGCCCCGGGCUCAACCCGGGAAGUGCACUUGAUACUGCGUGGCUUGAGUACCGAAGAGGGUAGUGGAAUUCCAGGUGUAGUGGUGAAAUACGUAGAUAUCUGGAGGAACACCGGUGGCGAAGGCGGCUACCUGGUCGAGUACUGACACUGAGACACGAAAGCAUGGGGAUCAAACAGGAUUAGAUACCCCUGUAGUCC
rnacentral:rRNA from 1 species